rnacentral:misc_RNA from 1 species
GUCAAAUAUAUGUCAUAUUUAAAGGUGUGGCAUGCUUUUGAUAUUCCUAAUUUAUUUAUGGAACUCAGUACUUUAUCAGUCACCUUUAUCGGAGGGUGGUUUGUCCCUGUAGUCAAUUUGGGGAUAGUUAUCAUUAUUAUGCAGAGGCUUUGAGCUCUUUAUUAGCUGAGAAUUUAUUAACGUAACAAAGUAAUCUGUCAUUUUUAUUAGCAUUGUUCUUCUAUGGGUGCUACAUUUAACACAAGUAAAUAUGCACAUAGAAAGAGAGAGAGAGUGGGGGAUCACGUGUAAUUGUCAGGAAUUUGUCAUGUAUCUAACUACUGUAAUCCUUUCAUGUGUUGCCUGGAACACUUUUACUGUUCAUAACUGAGAUGCUGCUAGGACUUGUAGUAUGUUGCUCAGAGAAAUUCAAGUUGUUGACCACUGAAGAACAACAUUUUAUUUGAUGGGACUCUUUCUAUAGUUUGAUAACUUAGGCACAAGUUUUAGAUAAUUGAACAAAACAAUUUGGGCUGUAAAAUACAAUGAAUUAAUUAAUUCUUUGAUAUAUGUGUUUUUAUUCUUUUGACCUGAAGGUUAGUUCACCAUGGACUAUAGUUA